GUUUGACCUUUUUAAAUACUUUCUCUUGUAGUUUGUAUAUAUUUUUCCACUUUUCUGGAUAAAUUAAACCAUUUUGUAGACAAUGUCCAUAUCUUUAUUGUGUUUAGAAGGUUUGUGAUUAGGAAAGCUCUGUUCCUCUAUUUAUAGUCUCCAAGAGAUGGAAUGGGAGCCAAGUAACCAGCAGUGUGUGUGAUGGAAAGUAUGAAUCAACACAGAUGGAAUGGAGAGACUGUAAUUCAGGCAUUGUUCAUGUUAUAUAUAGCAAUGCUUCACAGUGUUUUGUCACGAUACAGGCUGCGUAAAAAUCUUACAU